GUGAAUCAUCGAAUUUUUGAACGCAUAUUGCACUCCCUGGUAUUCCGGAGAGCAUGCCUGUUUGAGGGUCAGUUAAAUAAAAAUCGGGGUUUUUGUCACGCUCGGUGGUGACGCUUCGGAAUUGGGUCGUCUUUACCUUUGGGUUAAGUGCCUUAAAAUUUUUUGAAUGAAAUCUGUACGUAUUUAACUUUAUUUGGUACGUUUUGUAAUAUCGAAU
rnacentral:misc_RNA from 1 species